GGGGGGCCGGUUAUCGGAAUACUGGGGCGUAAGCGAGCGUAGGUGGCUUGAUAAGUCAGAUGUGAAAUCCCCGGGCUUAACCUGGGAACUGCAUCUGAUACUGUCAGGCUAGAGUAUGGGAGAGGAAGGUAGAAUUCCAGGUGUAGCGGUGAAAUGCGUAGAGAUCUGGAGGAAUACCGAUGGCGAAGGCAGCCUUCUGGCCUCAUACUGACACUGAGGCUCGAAAGCGUGGGUAGCAAACAGGAUUAGAUACCCUGGUAGUCCACGCCGUAAACGAUGUCUACUAGUCGGUGGGUCCCUUGAGGACUUACUGACGCAGCUAACGCAAUAAGUAGACCGCCUGGGGAGUACGGCCGCAAGGUUAAAACUCAAAUGAAUUGACGGGGGCCCGCACAAGCGGUGGAGCAUGUGGUUUAAUUCGAUGCAACGCGAAGAACCUUACCUGGUCUUGACAUAUCUAGAAUCCUGCAGAGAUGCGGGAGUGCCUUCGGGAAUUCUAAUACAGGUGCUGCAUGGCUGUCGUCAGCUCGUGUCGUGAGAUGUUGGGUUAAGUCCCGCAACGAGCGCAACCCUUGUCCUUAGUUACCAGCGGGUUAAGCCGGGAACUCUAAGGAUACUGCCAGUGACAAACUGGAGGAAGGCGGGGACGACGUCAAGUCAUCAUGGCCCUUACGACCAGGGCUACACACGUGCUACAAUGGUAGGUACAGAGGGCAGCUACUCAGCGAUGUGAUGCGAAUCUCAUAAAGCCUAUCGUAGUCCAGAUUGGAGUCUGCAACUCGACUCCAUGAAGUAGGAAUCGCUAGUAAUCGCGGAUCAGAAUGCCGCGGUGAAUACGUUCCCGGGCCUUGUACACACCGCCCGUCACACCAUGGGAGUUGAUUUGCACAGAAGUAGGUAGCCUAACCGUCAGGGAGGCGAUCACCACUGUGUGAUUGAUGACUGGGUGAUCUAGAGGA
rnacentral:rRNA from 1 species